GAGAGAUGACCGAGUGGUUGAAGGUACCGGUCUUGAAAACCGGCGUGCGGUGACCCCGUACCGUGGGUUCGAAUCCCACUCUCUCC
rnacentral:tRNA from 1 species